rnacentral:rRNA from 1 species
AGGACCACCAGUGGCGAAAGCGUCAGACUGGAACGCGCCUGACGGUGAGGGACGAAAGCCAGGGGAGCGAACCGGAUUAGAUACCCGGGUAGUCCUGGCCGUAAACGAUGCAUACUAGGCAAUGGUGCGGCUAUGAGCCGCAUCAGUACCGUAGGGAAACCGUUAAGUGUGCCGCCUGGGAAGUACGGUCGCAAGGCUAAAACUUAAAGGAAUUGGCGGGGGAGCACCACAAGGGGUGAAGCCUGCGGUUCAAUUGGACUCAACGCCGGGAAACUUACCAGGGGAGACAGCAGAAUGACAGUCAGGUUGACGACCUUACUCGACGAGCUGAGAGGAGGUGCAUGGCCGUCGCCAGUUCGUGCUGUGAGGUAUCCUGUUAAGUCAGGCAACGAACGAGAUCCGCGCCUUUAUUUGCCAUCAAGAAGUCACGACUUCGUUGGGAACACUAAAGGGACCGCCGUCGAUAAGACGGAGGAAGGAGCGGGCAAAGGCAGGUCAGUAUGCCCCGAAACCCCUGGGCUACACGCGGGCUGCAAUGGUGCGAACAAUGGGCUGUAACUCCGAAAGGAGAAACCAAUCCCGAAAUCGCAUCUCAGUGGGGAUUGUCGACUGUAACUCGUUGACAUGAACGUGGAAUCCCUAGUAAUCGCGUGUCACCAUCGCGCGGUGAACACGUCUCUGCUC